CUUGAUAUUUUUAAAAGAAGCUAUAUAUUAAUAAGCGUCGGGAAACUGACUGUGACACCAGAGGCCUUAUGAAAUAGAUGCGUCGGACCCGAGGGCAGUACUCGGCACCUCCACCAUUUAUGGGGGUGAAACAGGAUUGACGGUGUAUAGUAAAGAUAUGUGUUGUGUCCGGUGAGAUACCACCGUUAUCGGUUCAAAUUAAAUAAACGCAAAUGAUAAUUUUGCACCUGUUGCCAUCGCUGCGUAAUGCGGCAAACGCAACAAACUUCAAUUCUUUAAGCUUUGGUUAGCAUAAAGUGGGGCUGAGCCACCUAGCAACAGAACGGC
rnacentral:tmRNA from 1 species